rnacentral:tRNA from 1 species
UUAAUUGAAACCAAAUUGAGGUAUAUCACUGUUAAUGGUAUCAUUGAAUCAUCAUUCCAAUUAAU